GGUCUAAGAACCAUUUGCCUUGUGUGAGAAGAGAUUGAUAGGUGGAAGUUUCAGUCGGUGAAUAGGUGGGAGUGACUGAUGAGAAGAAGAAAAACUGGCCGUGAGGGACAGAAGUUAGAAAGCUAGCAGCUUCUUUAGCUACCUUAUCAGCAUAAGCAUUGCCCUGAGCGAUGGGAUCUGAUGCCUUUUGAUGGCCCUUGCAGUGAAUGACUCCAGCUUCCUUUGGAAGUAAAGCGGCCUUGAGAAGAGUUUUUAUUAAGGAGGCAAUAAUGAUGGAGGACCUUUGCGUACUGAGGAAACCUCUUUCUGCCCAUAUAACAGCAUUGUGGUGCAGGAUAUGGAAGGCAUAUUUAGAGUCAGUAUAAAUAUUGACAUGUAGUCCUUUUGCAAGAGCGAGGGCUCGAGUUAAGGCAAUGAGUUCAGCUUGCUGAGAGGUAGUGGAGGGGGGCAGAGCGGUAGCUUCAAGGAUAGAUGUGGAAGAUACUACUAUAGCAUAGCCCACCUUUGCUGGUGAAUGGCGAUUAGGCCAGGUGGAACUGCCAUCAAUAAACCAAGUGUGAUCAGGGUGAGGAAUAGGAAAGAAGGAAGUAUGGGGAAAUGGAGUGAAUGCCAGGUGGAUUAGAGAGAUACAGUCAUGGGGGUCAGGUGUGGUAUCAGGAAUAAUGUGGGGGCUAGCCUAAAACAGUAAGGUCAAGUUGUUUGGACAGAAAGGCUACAGGGCAUGGUCCUGGCUCUUGUGUAAGAAUUCCAACUGCACAGCCCUGCAUUUCAGCUGUGUGUAAUGAAAAAAGGGUUGGGAUGAGUUAGGGAGAGCUAGUGUGGGAGCAGCUUUUAGGGCUGUUUUUUAAGGAAUGGAAAGGGGAGUGGGGAAAGGAUUUAGGAUUUAUGAGGUCAGCUAGGUUUGCUUUUGUGAGUUUAUAUAAUGGUUUUGUUAGGAUGGCAAAACCAGGUAUCCAAAGGCAAAGGUAUCCAACCAUGCCCAGGAAGGAAAGGAGUUGUUGUUUUGUAGAAGGUGUUGGGGUUUGAGAGAUCAGUCAGACAUGAUCAGCAGGGAGAGCACAUGUGUUUUUAUGAAGAAUUAUACUGAGGUAGGUAACGGAUGGAGAAGAAAUUUGAGCUUUGGAGGGGGACAUCCGAUAUCCCUUGGAGAAUAAAUGUUGAAAAGUAUCUUGUUGAGAAGAUUCAAAGGAGGGGCUACAAAGUAGAAGGUCAUCAAUAUAUUGAAUAAGGUGAGAAGCGAAGGGAUGGAAAGAAAGUAUAUCAUGAGAAAGAGCUUGGCUGAAGUAAUGAGGGCUGUCCCUGAAGCCUUGCGGCAGUACAGCCCAGGUAAGCUGCUGGGACUGAUGGGUGUCAGGGUCAGUCCAGGUAAAAGCAAAAGAGGCUGGGAUGAGUGGUGUAGGGAAUAGUGAAAAAAGCAUCUGUGAGAUCAAGAACGGAAUAGUGAGUUGUGGAGGAAGGUAUUGAGGACAAACAAGUGUAUGGGUUGGGCACCACAGGGUGGAUAGGCAAAACAAUUUGGUUGAUAAGAUCCAGAUCCUGAGGUAACCUGUAAGACUUGUCCGGUUUUUGAACAGGUAAAAUGGGAGAAUUGUAAGAAGAGUUUAUAGGUUUUAGAAGCCCAUGCUGUAGCAGGCGAGUGAUAACAGGCUUCAGUCCUCUUAAAGCCAGUUGUGGGAUGGAAUAGUGGCAUUGAGCCAGGUAAGGGUGAUUAGGUUUUAAUGGGAUAGUAAUGGGUGUUUGAUCGGUUGCCAGGGAGGGAGUGGAGGUGUCCCAUACUUGUGGGUUAAGGUUGGGGGAUACGAGAGGAAGAGGCGAAGGAGGCUUUGGGUUGGGAAGAAGGGUGGCAAUGAGAUGUGGCUGUAGUCCAGGAAUAAUCAGGGAAGCAGAUAAUUUGGUUAAAAUGUCUUGGCCUAAUAAGGGAACUGGGCAGGUGGGGAUAACUAAAAAAGAGUACAUAAAAGAAUGUUGUCCAAGUUGGUGCCAGAGUGGGGGAGUUUUAAGGGGUUUAGAAUCCUGGCCAUCAAUACCCACAACAGUUAUAGGGGCAAAGGAAACAGGCCCUUGAAAAGAAGGUAAUGUGGAGUGGGUAGCUCCCAUAUCGAU
rnacentral:lncRNA from 10 species